AUGGAUGACACGAACAUGCCGAUCAUGAGCUGGAACGUGAGAGGACUCAACACGCCGGCGCGAUGCUCGGUCAUCCGUGACACUGCACACGAUCACAAGCUGGCAAUCCUCUGCAUUCAGGAAACCAAGAUUGACUGCUGGUCCACCUGCCUAGCAAGAGAAAUAGGUGGUACAUGGCUUGACCAAUGCAUAGUUCUCCCAGCCAUUGGAACAAGGGGAGGGGCGGCCAUUUUCUGGAACUCUAGCAUGCUCUCUGUGCAGUCCCAUUUGAUAGGGCAAUUCUCCAUCACAGCUAGGGUGCAGAUAGGCCAGUCAGGCAAAGAUUUCUGGCUAACCACGGUCUACGAGCCUUCGGAUGAGAAUAGAAAAGAUGAUUUUCUCGCGGAAUUAGCUAGAAUUUCCCCACCACCUGGACAAGCUUGGCUCAUCAACGGCGACUUCAACAUUAUAUACGAGGCUAGAGAUAAGAAUAACAGCAACAUCAAUCGUCGGAUCAUGGGAAAGUUUAGAGCGGCAAUUGACGCGGGUGGCCUCCGUGAGAUCAAAUGC
rnacentral:rRNA from 1 species